rnacentral:misc_RNA from 1 species
GAUAGUGCCCCUGCCUUGCAGCCC